rnacentral:rRNA from 1 species
GCAAGUCGAGCGGUAACAGAUUGAUAGCUUGCUAUCAAUGCUGACGAGCGGCGGACGGGUGAGUAAUGCCUGGGAAUAUGCCCUGAUGUGGGGGAUAACUAUUGGAAACGAUAGCUAAUACCGCAUAAUCUCUUCGGAGCAAAGAGGGGGACCUUCGGGCCUCUCGCGUCAGGAUUAGCCCAGGUGGGAUUAGCUUGUUGGUGGGGUAAUGGCUCACCAAGGCAACGAUCCCUAGCUGGUCUGAGAGGAUGAUCAGCCACACUGGAACUGAGACACGGUCCAGACUCCUACGGGAGGCAGCAGUGGGGAAUAUUGCACAAUGGGGGAAACCCUGAUGCAGCCAUGCCGCGUGUAUGAAGAAGGCCUUCGGGUUGUAAAGUACUUUCAGUUGUGAGGAAGGCGUUGAUGUUAAUAGCUUCAGCGUUUGACGUUAGCAACAGAAGAAGCACCGGCUAACUCCGUGCCAGCAGCCGCGGUAAUACGGAGGGUGCGAGCGUUAAUCGGAAUUACUGGGCGUAAAGCGCAUGCAGGUGGUCUGUUAAGCAAGAUGUGAAAGCCCGGNGCUCAACCUCGGAACAGCAUUUUGAACUGGCAGACUAGAGUACUGUAGAGGGGGGUAG